GACGAACGCUGGCGGCGUGCUUAACACAUGCAAGUCGAACGGAAAGGCCCUGCUUUUGUGGGGUGCUCGAGUGGCGAACGGGUGAGUAACACGUGAGUAACCUGCCCUUGACUUUGGGAGAACUUCAGGAAACUGGGGCUAAUACCGGAUAGGAGCUCCUGCUGCAUGGUGGGGGUUGGAAAGUUUCGGCGGUUGGGGAUGGACUCGCGGCUUAUCAGCUUGUUGGUGGGGUAGUGGCUUACCAAGGCUUUGACGGGUAGCCGGCCUGAGAGGGUGACCGGCCACAUUGGGACUGAGAUACGGCCCAGACGCCUACGGGAGGCAGCAGUGGGGAAUAUUGCACAAUGGGCGGAAGCCUGAUGCAGCAACGCCGCGUGCGUGAUGACGGCCUUCGGGUUGUAAACCGCUUUCGCCUGUGACGAAGCGUGAGUGACGGUACUGGGUAAAGAAGCACCGGCUAACUACGUG
rnacentral:rRNA from 1 species